UAUUAUUAAAUUUUUUUCUUUAUUUCAUUAUAUAUGUGUAAUUCUUCUAAAACUGAAUUAAUGUAAAUGUUAUUUUGGCUAUUUAAUAUUUCUAAGUCCGUAUUUAUAUCAAAACUUUUAGUUAUUUUCUAAAACAUGUUUAGCAAAAUUUGAAUUAGAGACAGGCUUUUUAAAUUUUAUUUCAGAAAUGUGUUUUUUAUAUCUUAUUUUAAUAUUUUUAUUUGUUUUACCCACAUAAAAUUUACUACAGUUGAAUACAAUUUUGUUUGGCGAUUUGUCUCGGCCUACAACCGCACACCCUGUCUUAGUCUGCGGCUACUUAGGAGGCGCGGAGGUUCAAGAGUUUCCGGAGCUGCAAGCCGGUCCGGCAUUUCCCGUGUCAUUCUAAGGACCACCAGCACUGCAGGACCCCGAGAACUCGGAGCCUCGCGUACCAAUGGGUUAGAGCCAAGCGCCGCCUGUCCCGCCAUUGGUACAGUUACAGCUUACCUCAUUGCUUUCCGUUUUUGGUCAUGGACAACCUUCGGUGUGGUGUUAGCCCAUCGAUAGACUGAGUAGGCGCCAGAGAGAUACCCUGGUUCACAGUAGUGGCUGCUUACGAGGCCGUUCUAUUUAGAGUUUUCCUCGAGUCAGCAUGACUCAUAACCACAUAGUCACUCGGUUACAGCCAUACAAUUUACUACAGUUACAUUUAAAUUUAUGUAUACUAGCAUUUUCAAAAGAAGGGGGAUUUUUGUGGUUUAUUUAUUUUAUUUUUACGCAUAGAUUUUUUAUUUAUAUAUUUAUUUAAUUUAUUUAUUUAGGAGUGUUAACAAUUUUAAUAAUUUUGUUUUACUUUAUUAUUUUAUAUUUAAUGUUUGACAAAUUGUAUUAGAUAAUUUUAGAACCCCAACACAAAUUCAACAUAAAUAGAUUGAAAAAAUCAGUUCCUAGUCUUUUAUGAUACAAUAUUAUAAGUAAAAUAUUUGUCACUUUAAAAAAUAAAAAUUUUAAAGAUCUUUUGGCUAACUUCAAAGUUACGAUACACAAAUUCAUUAAUAUUGUACUUAAGAAGCCUGUGUUUUACUCAUCAUACACUUUGUUGAAGGAAUUCAGUGUUCUUAACUUAAAUUCUAUUUAUUAUAAGAAUGUUAUUUUACAUAUGUUUAAAGUAGAUGUUCAUUGAAAUGCACCACAGCAUGAAUACAAUACAUGCUUAAAAUAUCUUAGAAAUUUAAAUGUAUUAAAAGCAUGUAUAAAUGUAUGUAAAAUAAAUUUAAGAAUAAACUGGCACUAAACACAAGCUCUGCUUAUCGGAGAGAUAUCUACUACUUAGUUAUUGUUGUAUAUUGUAUUGUUCUGUAAUUAUAUUGGAUAUAUACAAUUUUGUAUUUUGUUUAGAUAAUAAAAAAAUAAUAUUAGUAAUUUAACUAUAUCUCUGUAAGAACUGUGCAAUCAAAUGAAAAAGAUGAUAAUUUUAAUAUAUUUAAUUUGGUUCCUAAACCAAUGAACAUUUUAGUAAUUAC